CAAGUUAUCCAGAGCAGGAAGCACAAAAGGGAAUAAUGGGUAAUAAUAUUAUUAUCAAGCCCAUGUGAAAAGAGAACAUUGUGGAUACACACCCAUGUGAAAGUUGGCUUUAUGGGACUCCUUUACAGUGCAGCACAAGAUAGAGACACACACAGCCCUUUUGGACAGCCAACCCUUGCCCUCCAACAGAUUUCCCCUCCCUCAGACACCAUGAUCAGCAUGCUGGGCCUCUAAAAAGGUACCCUCCCCAUUCAGAAAUACAUUAGUUAAUGGGAAAUGAAUGCUCUCUCCUUUCACAAAGUCUUCAUGAACUGUUUCAUGGUUGGGACUUAAUUUUGUUGGAAACAAUGGGGCAACACUUGUGGGUUUCCGAACAGUAAACAGGUAUAAGAUAAUGAUAAUACAUGGAAUGGAAUGGGAUAAACAAAUUUAUAAUCUGGUGCAUGCAUACUUCUUUUAAUAAUGCCCAUAAUUUUGAACCAGCAAAAGGGCCUUUGACAUUUACAGGCCAAUUGGGUGUCUGUUCAUAUGGGUCAAAAAGUUAGACCCAGGGAACAUAAGAAGAGGUGGCAUGGUGGUGGCCUUUGUGGGGGAGCCUUCAUGCUGCUCUGCUCAUAGAUCUCUUGAACCUGGUGCUGGAGUUUCAUAAGAUUCCUCGCGUAUCAUUGAUAAAAGGAUGGUUGCAAGCUCCGAGAAUGCAAAGAAGUCAUGUAAUCAACAAGUUAUACCAGUUGGGGAACUGUCACCAGACCUCAGAAUGAAUACACCACAGGGUCCAAAUGACUUGCCACCAGGUCCCCAAGCAUCACUAGAGUACAAUCGAGGUUCCUGUGUAGAGGUCUGGAGCCAAGUCCUACCCCAUCUCGAGUAAAUUCAACGAUUGCAUAAAAGUGUGGUGGAGCAACUCCUCUGGAGCAAUGGAACUAAAGUGAUGGCCACAGAUAAUCAUGUGG
rnacentral:lncRNA from 1 species